GGAGAGGUGGCAGAGUGGUUGAAUGCACCUGUCUUGAAAACAGGCGAGGCGCAAGUCUCCGUGGGUUCAAAUCCCUCCCUCUCCGCCA
rnacentral:tRNA from 1 species